AGAACAAGUACCAAAGUAACUGUUGGUACCUUGACGGUACCUGACCAGAAAGCCACGGCUAACUACGUGCCAGCAGCCGCGGUAAUACGUAGGUGGCAAGCGUUGUCCGGAAUUAUUGGGCGUAAAGCGCGCGCAGGCGGCUUUUUAAGUCUGAUGUGAAAGCCCACGGCUCAACCGUGGAGGGUCAUUGGAAACUGGGAGGCUUGAGUGCAGAAGAGGAGAGCGGAAUUCCACGUGUAGCGGUGAAAUGCGUAGAGAUGUGGAGGAACACCAGUGGCGAAGGCGGCUCUCUGGUCUGUAACUGACGCUGAGGCGCGAAAGCGUGGGGAGCGAACAGGAUUAGAUACCCUGGUAGUCCACGCCGUAAACGAUGAGUGCUAAGUGUUGGAGGGUUUCCGCCCUUCAGUGCUGCAGCUAACGCAUUAAGCACUCCGCCUGGGGAGUACGGCCGCAAGGCUGAAACUCAAAGGAAUUGACGGGGGCCCGCACAAGCGGUGGAGCAUGUGGUUUAAUUCGAAGCAACGCGAAGAACCUUACCAGGUCUUGACAUCCCGCUGACCGGUCUGGAGACAGAUCUUUCCCUUCGGGGACAGCGGUGACAGGUGGUGCAUGGUUGUCGU
rnacentral:rRNA from 1 species